UACAGAGGUGGCAAGCGUUGUUCGGAAUUACUGGGCGUAAAGGGCGCGUAGGCGGCCUCGCAAGUCCCGUGUGAAAUCCCUCGGCUCAACUGAGGAAUGGCACGGGAAACUGCGGGGCUUGAGUCCGGAAGAGGAGAGUGGAAUUCCCGGUGUAGCGGUGAAAUGCGCAGAUAUCGGGAAGAACACCCGUGGCGAAGGCGGCUCUCUGGGACGGUACUGACGCUGAGACGCGAAAGCGUGGGGAGCGAACAGG
rnacentral:rRNA from 1 species